rnacentral:misc_RNA from 1 species
UUAAGUUCAGCGGGUAUCCCUACCUGAUCCGAGGUCAACCUAUAAGAAUAGUGGUUGCUGGCAAGCAAACACCCAAACUCUAUAGCGAGAAAGUUUUACUACGCUAGGAGCCAGGUGGCACCGCCACUGAUUUUGAGGUACACCACAGAGGGUGAAACCCAAUACCAAGCAGAGCUUGAGGGUUGUAAUGACGCUCGAAC